UGAUGAACACGGAAAGUGGAAGUGCUAGUGAAAUACAUUUUAAGGAAUCUACGCCAUUAAUUAAUCAUAUGCCUUCGGUUCCUGAAAAUGUUGCUAAAUACCAAAGUAAUAGUUUUCUAAAUUCUGGAUGUUCAGCUUCAACAUCAUGUCCACGCUUGCACAGAUAUUCAAGCUCAAGCAGCACCCGAAGAAACGAACCUGUCCCAGAUUAUGGUGAAACGGGAAAUCCGUUAGCGACUCUACUAAGCAUCACAAUCAACGUUUUUACGGAAUCCGAUUGUUACGAUCGAUUAUUAUGUGCAAUUUGUUUGAUUGUAUUAUGUUUCGGGGGUACCAUCGGUAUUUACCUCUUAUAUCUUGAAAAUAAAUAUAGACAUUUUA